rnacentral:rRNA from 1 species
CGGACGGGUGAGUAACACGUGGAUAACCUACCUAUAAGACUGGGAUAACUUCGGGAAACCGGAGCUAAUACCGGAUAAUAUAUUGAACCGCAUGGUUCAAUAGUGAAAGACGGUUUUGCUGUCACUUAUAGAUGGAUCCGCGCUGCAUUAGCUAGUUGGUGAGGUAACGGCUUACCAAGGCAACGAUGCGUAGCCGACCCGAGAGGGUGAUCGGCCACACUGGAACUGAGACACGGUCCAGACUCCUACGGGAGGCAGCAGGC